rnacentral:rRNA from 1 species
AGCGGCGGAUGGGUGAGUAACACGUGGGGAACCUGCCCCUAAGUCUGGGAUACCAUUUGGAAACAGGUGCUAAUACCGGAUAAUAAAGCAGAUCGCAUGAUCAGCUUUUGAAAGGCGGCGUAAGCUGUCGCUAAGGGAUGGCCCCGCGGUGCAUUAGCUAGUUGGUAAGGUAACGGCUUACCAAGGCGACGAUGCAUAGCCGAGUUGAGAGACUGAUCGGCCACAUUGGGACUGAGACACGGCCCAAACUCCUACGGGAGGCAGCAGUAGGGAAUCUUCCACAAUGGACGCAAGUCUGAUGGAGCAACGCCGCGUGAGUGAAGAAGGUUUUCGGAUCGUAAAGCUCUGUUGUUGGUGAAGAAGGAUAGAGGUAGUAACUGGCCUUUAUUUGACGGUAAUCAACCAGAAAGUCACGGCUAACUACGUGCCAGCAGCCGCGGUAAUACGUAGGUGGCAAGCGUUGUCCGGAUUUAUUGGGCGUAAAGCGAGCGCAGGCGGAAAAAUAAGUCUAAUGUGAAAGCCCUCGGCUUAACCGAGGAACUGCAUCGGAAACUGUUUUUCUUGAGUGCAGAAGAGGAGAGUGGAACUCCAUGUGUAGCGGUGGAAUGCGUAGAUAUAUGGAAGAACACCAGUGGCGAAGGCGGCUCUCUGGUCUGCAACUGACGCUGAGGCUCGAAAGCAUGGGUAGCGAACAGGAUUAGAUACCCUGGUAGCCCAUGCCGUAAACGAUGAGUGCUAAGUGU